rnacentral:rRNA from 1 species
CAGCCGCCGCGGUAAUACGAAGGGUGCAAGCGUUAAUCGGAAUUACUGGGCGUAAAGCGUGCGUAGGCGGUGAGUUAAGUCUGCUGUGAAAUCCCCGGGCUCAACCUGGGAAUGGCAGUGGAUACUGGCUCGCUAGAGUGUGUCAGAGGAUGGUGGAAUUCCCGGUGUAGCGGUGAAAUGCGUAGAGAUCGGGAGGAACAUCAGUGGCGAAGGCGGAUCUCUGGGCCAUUACUGACGCUGAGGAGCGAAAGCGUGGGGAGCGAACAGGAUUAGAUACCCCGGUAGUCCCUGUCUCUUAUAC